rnacentral:rRNA from 1 species
UACAGAGGGGGCAAGCGUUGUUCGGAAUUACUGGGCGUAAAGGGCGCGUAGGUGGCCUUCUAAGUUGAACGUGAAAUCCCUGGGCUCAACCCAGGAACUGCGUCCAAGACUGGGAGGCUUGAAUCCGGGAGAGGGAUGCGGAAUUCCAGGUGUAGCGGUGAAAUUCGUAGAUAUCUGGAGGAACACCGGUGGCGAAGGCGGCAUCCUGGACCGAGAUUGACGCUGAUGCGCGAAAGCCAGGGGAGCAAACGGG